rnacentral:rRNA from 1 species
CCUACGGGGGGCUGCAGUGGGGAAUAUUGCACAAUGGGGGGAACCCUGAUGCAGCGACGCCGCGUGAGUGAAGAAGUAUUUCGGUAUGUAAAGCUCUAUCAGCAGGAACGAGACAAGACGGUACCUGACUAAGAAGCCCCGGCUAACUACGUGCCAGCAGCCGCGGUAAUCCGUAGGGGGCAAGCGUUAUCCGGAAUCACUGGGGGUAAAGGGCGCGUAGACGGCUGAGCAAGCCUGGCGUGAAAGGCGGGGGCGCAACCCCCGGACGGCGUGGGGAACUGUGCGGCGGGAGUGCAGGAGAGGUAAGGGGAAUUCGUGGUGUAGCGGUGAAAUGCGUAGAUAGUAGGAGGAA